rnacentral:tRNA from 1 species
GGAGGGGUGGCUGAGCGGUUGAAAGCGGCGGUCUUGAAAACCGUUGUGGGGGUGACUCCACCCAGGGUUCGAAUCCCUGCCCCUCCGCCA